rnacentral:rRNA from 1 species
GACGAACGCUGGCGGCGUGCUUAACACAUGCAAGUCGAACGGAAAGGCCCUGCUUUUGUGGGGUGCUCGAGUGGCGAACGGGUGAGUAACACGUGAGUAACCUGCCCUUGACUUUGGGAUAACUUCAGGAAACUGGGGCUAAUACCGGAUAGGAGCUCCUGCUGCAUGGUGGGGGUUGGAAAGUUUCGGCGGUUGGGGAUGGACUCGCGGCUUAUCAGCUUGUUGGUGGGGUAGUGGCUUACCAAGGCUUUGACGGGUAGCCGGCCUGAGAGGGUGACCGGCCACAUUGGGACUGAGAGACGGCCCAGAAUCCUACGGGAGGCAGCAGGGGGGAAUAUUGCACAAUGGGCGGAAGCCUGAUGCAGCAACGCCGCGUGCGGGAUGACGGCCUUCGGGUUGUAAACCGCUUUCGCCUGUGACGAAGCGUGAGUGACGGUAAUGGGUAAAGAAGCACCGGCUAACUACGUG